rnacentral:tRNA from 2 species
GGGAUUUCAGGGAUUUGCAGAUUGGCGGACUUUUAAUCCGUUGGUCGCGAGUUCGAGUCUCGCUCAGCCCACCA